UCAUGAAAGUUAGGAACAUCCGAAGUCAGUGUGCCAACCGCAAGGAGGCAGCUGCCGAAGAUGGAACUAAUGAUUGGGGUG
rnacentral:rRNA from 1 species